UACAGAGGGUGCGAGCGUUAAUCGGAAUUACUGGGCGUAAAGCGCGCGUAGGCGGCUUUGCAAGUCGGGUGUGAAAUCCCCGGGCUCAACCCGGGAACUGCGUCCGAUUCUGGAAGGCUUGAAUCCGGGAGAGGGAUGCGGAAUUCCAGGUGUAGCGGUGAAAUGCGUAGAUAUCUGGAGGAACACCGGUGGCGAAGGCGGCAUCCUGGACCGGUAUUGACGCUGAGGCGCGAAAGCCAGGGGAGCAAACGGG
rnacentral:rRNA from 1 species